CGCUGGCGGCAGGCCUAACACAUGCAAGUCGAGCGCCCCGCAAGGGGAGCGGCGGACGGGUGAGUAACGCGUGGGAACGUACCCCUUUGCUACGGAAUAGCCUCGGGAAACUGGGAGUAAUACCGUAUGUGCCCUUCGGGGGAAAGAUUUAUCGGCAAAGGAUCGGCCCGCGUUGGAUUAGGUAGUUGGUGGGGUAAUGGCCUACCAAGCCGACGAUCCAUAGCUGGUUUGAGAGGAUGAUCAGCCACACUGGGACUGAGACACGGCCCAGACUCCUACGGGAGGCAGCAGUGGGGAAUCUUAGACAAUGGGCGCAAGCCUGAUCUAGCCAUGCCGCGUGAGCGAUGAAGGCCUUAGGGUUGUAAAGCUCUUUCAGUGGGGAAGAUAAUGACUGUACCCACAGAAGAAGCCCCGGCUAACUCCGUGCCAGCAGCCGCGGUAAUACGGAGGGGGCUAGCGUUGUUCGGAAUUACUGGGCGUAAAGCGCACGUAGGCGGACC
rnacentral:rRNA from 1 species